rnacentral:rRNA from 1 species
GAUGAACGCUGGCGGCGUGCCUAAUACAUGCAAGUCGAGCGAACGGACGAGAAGCUUGCUUCUCUGAUGUUAGCGGCGGACGGGUGAGUCACACGUGGAUAACCUACCUAUAAGACUGGGAUAACUUCGGGAAACCGGCGCUAAUACCGGAUGAUAUUUUGAACCGUAUGGUUCAAAAGUGAAAGACGGCCUUGCUGUCACUUAUAGAUGGAUCCGCGCUGCAUUAGCUAGUUGGUAAGGUAACGGCUUACCAAGGCAACGAUGCAUAGCCGACCGGAUAGGGUGGUAGGCGACACGGGAACGGAGACACGCACCAUGGGCCUGCGGGAGGCAGCAGUAGGGAAUCUGCCGCAAUGGUGGGAAACCUUGCGGAGCAGCGCGGCGUGAGUGGUAAAGGUCUUGGGAGCGGAAAGCCGUGUUAUGGGUUGAGAACAUAUGUGGAAGUAGCUGAGGCCAUCUUGACGGUACCGGGUCAGAAAGCCACGGCUAACUACGUG